UUCCAGUCAUUUUAUCUUGGAGACAAAAAGGAAGAUAUAAUCUGAGAAUUUAGGCUUACUUACUGAGAGCAUACAUUUACUACAUUUGAAGAAAAUAUUUGAAAAUGUCUUUAAACCACUGAUCAAGAAGGAAGACCAACAUAAAGGAAAAUACAGAAAGGAAACAAUGGAUGUCUUUAUCUGGAUUUAGUAUCACAUUAUGCUGGCCUCACAGAUUACACAUGAGCCUGGCCCAGGAUUUGGAAUCUCAUGGACCUGGAAAAGCCUCAGGCUCUUACGCAACCCCAGAAGAUAAGCCAACAGAUCAAUAAUGAUGAACACAAACUCCCACAGGGCCUUCAC